UCCAGGUUCAGGCAACUCACUUGAGUAGCUAUUCGAGCAUAAGAGCACGCUGAAAGCUGCAGUCUGCUCUUUAUCAAAACACUGCUCUUUCUGAUCGUACAUUCCGAAGGCACACAUUUGAAAGCACAUAAAGUAGUACCUCUCUCGUAAGGAGAAAGUUACUGUAGACAUAAGAAAGUCAAGUGUGCGGGCUUUAGUAUCGUAUCUUGUAUUUUCUUUCUACAAUUCUCCGAUCAGCUGAGAUGCUACAGUGGUCUUAAAACGGUCAUUAGGUGGCACUGAAAACUGAAUGAAUUGAAAACCAUAAGUACUUAUUUAUACAUCAGCAUCUGCACUCCACGGCGCAGAAAUGUGAACUGAUUAAAUUCGUAAUGAGAGUCCAUUGUAGAGGCAGAAAUUAACUAAAGGAAAACGCGGAGCAGCGUUUUAAAUAUAUAACUCGGUUCUCCAAUUCUUCUUUUCACGA